rnacentral:rRNA from 1 species
AGAGUUUGAUCAUGGCUCAGAUUGAACGCUGGCGGCGUGCCUAACACAUGCAAGUCGAGCGGUAACAGGUGUAGCAAUACAUGCUGACGAGCGGCGAACGGGUGAGUAAUGCUUUGGAAUCUUCCCAGUAGUGGGGAAUAACCAGUCGAAAGAUUGGCUAAUACCGCAUACGUCUGUAAAGGGAAAGCGGGGGAUCGUAAGACCUCGCGCUAUUGGAUGAGCCAAAGUCGGAUUAGCUAGUUGGUGGGGUAAUGGCCUACCAAGGCGACAAUCCGUAGCUGGUCUGAGAGGACGACCAGCCACACCGGAACUGAGACACGGUCCGGACUCCUACGGGAGGCAGCAGUGGGGAAUAUUGGACAAUGGGGGAAACCCUGAUCCAGCGACGCCGCGUGUGUGAAGAAGGCCUGCGGGUUGUAAAGCACUUUUAGUGGGGACAAAAAAGUCACGGGCUAACACCACGUGAUCUUGAUUUAACCCCACAGAAAAAAGCACCGGCUAACUCUGUGCCAGCAGCCCGCGGUAAUACAGAGGGUGCGAGCGUUAAUCGGAAUUACUGGGGCGUAAAGCGCGCGUAGACGUUUGUAAGUCAGAUGUGAAAUCCCCGGGCUCAACCUGGGAACUGCAUUUGAUACUGCAUGGCUAGAGUAUGGAAGAGGGAAGUGGAAUUUCCGGUGUAGCGGUGAAAUGCGUAGAUAUCGGAAGGAACACCAGUGGCGAAAGCGACUUCCUGGUCCAAUACUGACGUUCAUGUGCGAAAGCGUGGGGAGCAAACAGGAUUAGAUACCCUAGUAGUCC